rnacentral:rRNA from 1 species
GAUGAACGCUGGCGGCGUGCCUAAUACAUGCAAGUCGAGCGAACGGACGAGAAGCUCGCUUCUCUGAUGUUAGCGGCGGACGGGUGAGUAACACGUGGAUCACCUACCUCUUAGACUGGGAUAACUUCGGGAAACCGCAGAUACUACCAGAUAAUAUUUUCAACCGCAUGGUUCAAAAGUGCAUGACGGUUUUGCCGUCACUUAUAGAUGGUUCCGCGCUGAAUUAGCUAGUUGGUAAGGUAACGGCUUACCAAGGCAACGAUGCGUAGCUGACCUGAGAGGAUGAUCGGCCACACUGGAACUGAGACACGGUCCAGACUCCUACGGGAGGCAGCAGUGGGGAAUCUUGCGCAAUGGGCGAAAGCCUGACGGAGCAACACCGCGUGAGUGAUGAAGGUCUUCGGAUCGUAAAGCUCUGUUAUUAGGGAAGAACAGAUGUGUAAGUAACUGUGCACAUCUUGACGGUACCUAAUCAGAAAGCCACGGCUAACUACGUG